rnacentral:rRNA from 1 species
UGGACAAUGGGCGCAAGUCUUAUCCAGCCAUGCCGCUUGAGUGAAGAAGGCUUUCGGGUUGUAAAGCUCUUUCGUACGGAAAGAAAUCGCUCAGGCUCAUUCCCUUCGCGGAUGACGUUACCGCCAUAAGAAGCACCGGCUUACUUCUUUCCAGCGACCGCAGUAAUACGUAGGGUGCGAGCGUUAAUCGGAAUUACUGGGCGUAAAGCGUGCGCAGGCGGUUGAUUAAGACAGGCGUGAAAUCCCCGGGCUUAACCUGGGAACUGCGCUUGUGACUGGUCAGCUAGAGUACGGCAGAGGGGGGUGGAAUUCCACGUGUAGCAGUGAAAUGCGUAGAGAUGUGGAGGAACACCGAUGGCGAAGGCAGCCCCCUGGGCCGAUACUGACGCUCAUGCACGAAAGCGUGGGUAGCAAACAGG